rnacentral:rRNA from 1 species
AUUGAACGCUGGCGGAAUGCUUUACACAUGCAAGUCGAACGGUAGAGGGGGCAACCCCUCGAGAGUGGCGAACGGGUGAGUAAUAUAUCGGAACGUGCCCAGUCGUGGGGGAUAACGUAGCGAAAGUUACGCUAAUACCGCAUACGAUCUAAGGAUGAAAGCGGGGGAUCGCAAGACCUCGCGCGAUUGGAGCGGCCGAUAUCAGAUUAGGUAGUUGGUGGGGUAAAGGCUCACCAAGCCAACGAUCUGUAGCUGGUCUGAGAGGACGACCAGCCACACUGGAACUGAGACACGGUCCAGACUCCUACGGGAGGCAGCAGUGGGGAAUUUUGGACAAUGGACGCAAGUCUGAUCCAGCCAUUCCGCGUGCAGGAUGAAGGCCCUCGGGUUGUAAACUGCUUUUGUACGGAACGAAAAGGUCUCUCUUAAUACGAGGGGCUCAUGACGGUACCGUAAGAAUAAGCACCGGCUAACUACGUGCCAGCAGCCGCAGUAA